rnacentral:SRP_RNA from 1 species
GGCCAGGCCCGGUGUGACGCCGGAGCACCAACCCCGUCAGGACUGGAAAGUAGCAGCGGUACGUUCCCUUCGACGUGUGCGCCGCCAGCCUGGCCCUC